GCACAAGCGGCGGAGCAUGUGGAUUAAUUCGAUGCAACGCGAAGAACCUUACCUGGGUUUGACAUACACCGGAAAACCGUAGAGAUACGGUCCCCCGUUGUGGUCGGUGUACAGGUGGUGCAUGGCUGUCGUCAGCUCGUGUCGUGAGAUGUUGGGUUAAGUCCCGCAACGAGCGCAACCCUUUGCUUAUGUUGCCAGCACGUAAUGGUGGGGACUCGUAAGAGACUGCCGGGGUCAACUCGGAGGAAGGUGGGGACGACGUCAAGUCAUCAUGCCCCUUAUGUCCAGGGCUUCACACAUGCUACAAUGGCCAGUACAGAGGGCUGCGAGACCGUGAGGUGGAGCGAAUCCCUUAAAGCUGGUCUCAGUUCGGAUCGGGGUCUGCAACUCGACCCCGUGAAGUCGGAGUCGCUAGUAAUCGCAGAUCAGCAACGCUGCGGUGAAUACGUUCCCGGGCCUU
rnacentral:rRNA from 1 species